UGGUGUGGCCUACUUGCACCUUGGGAGAGAUUAUUGGAGGUUGGGGAUCAGUAGUCCCCCUGGUAAUCAGUACAGGGCCUGCAGAUAUCCUGGUCAACAUUCCAGUUUUCAUCACUAAGGAGACCUUAAUCAUGUCCCUGUUGCAAAUCCAGACUACCACUUUGGUACCCAAUACAGGCAUGCAGCCUCAGAUAUCAGGCCAAAGGGUAAGGUACAGAUGGCUGGGACAUGCCCUAGUGCAAGCAGAAGUGUUGACCCAGGACAGGAACAUGGUCUGUAUCUUGCUGUGAAAGGCAAACCUUCUCCUUCUGAUACCUCUAAAACAUCUAUACUAAUAGACCAUCUAUACUAAUCUGUGAGUCUCUUUGAGUCCACAGGACUGGUCCAAGCUACUGCAUGCCUCCAGUAACAUCAUCGGGCUGAACUUCAACCAUGAUCUGAUCAUUGGUCAUCUUGCAUUAUGUCAACCUGCACCAUCAUGGGCAAUUGUACAAGUGUUGUGGUGUGUUGGAUCCUUGUAUUAGUGAAGGCACACCCUCCAGCCAGCCUAAUCAUUGGCUCAUGUCUUUAAGGGGUGGAGUGUAUAGGAACUGUUGAGUCAUGGCCUGAACCACUGGAGAGAAGACCUGGUCAGCCCUGGGAGCACAGGUGAGGGCAGUUCACCUGGGUGACUGGAAGGGGUGGAGCCUGACUUCACCUCUCUUUGACCUCAUUUAAGGGCUGACUGGCACAGUGGAAGGAUUUCUUGUUGGUGAUCUCUUCUCUGUGGAGUUCCUACUGUGAGCCUAGAUCCUUGGAGUUUCCCUGAGAAUUUACCUGACUAAAGCAUGGGAGGGGAAGCUAUCCUGGAGAGGUUUAGUUCUUCUCACACAGCCCAAAGGAGAGCCCAAGCCUCUCCUUUGCAGAAGGUCCUUCCAGCUGAACUAUUUUGGAGGUUUAAAGAUUAUUAGCCAGCCUGAGUGCCUACAGAUAUCUAAAGGAAGUCUACAAAAUAAUGGGAAUUUGUGCCAGGUCCUGUUUUGAGAACAGACAGGAGGAGAAAUAAUGGAAUUAAUAUCUGAGUAACUAGGAAAAUAAUAUGUUGAUGACAUACUGCAACCAUGGGGGGGAACACUGCACUGUUUUCAGACAGCAGCAGCAGAGAUUGCGCUUCCUUCAGCAUCUGAUGCAGGGCUGCGUGGGGCUGUAAGGGGCAGAUUUGAGUUACUAUUCCAUCCCAUUAACCUCCAGUGUGAUGCAGUCCCUACAAGUGAAGUCUAAUUGAUUCAAUAUGCCUGAUUCUGACCAAUCUGCUGAAAGUUCUCUUAACCUGGAUAAUGAGAAACUCUCGCUCCAGCUUCAUUGUUUUUUAAUUUUAUUACUGCUUCCUCUUGGCUUGAUUUGUCAUCCGUACUUAUUGAAUUCCUGCUUGUAUUCCAUAUCUUAAUUAAAAGCUUGUUUCUUCUGCUUUUCUCAGUAAUCUCUUCCAUGCUUUCUGGAGUUUGUCCUGUAACUUAGGCUCCUCCUUGUGCUUGCCAUCAGAAGAGAACACAAGCUUAUGUUUGGACCACUGUCUCAAAGGACAGAAAAAGCCACUAAUGCUAAUCUCAAGAGCUCUCCACCUGCCUCAGUAAAUGUCUACAGACAGCUUUUCCCCCUGUGAAGCUUCUCAACUCUUCAGUAAGAGACAGGAGAGAGGCCACAGCAGAUCCUAUAGGAACGAGUAGAGUAAUCAUUCGUAGGCACAGUUUAAAUUGCACAUGCCUGCUUGAAAUACUCAUUAUAACAUCAACCAGAGGCUGUUUCUGAAUUUCCAGUCAAAUUUUGAUUGACUUUAACAUUCUUGAUCAACAUGAACAGACUCUAAGUGAUAAACUAGCACUCUAGUUUAGGCACUACAUGUCAGUUCCACUGGAAAGGUGCUGAUGUACUUGAUCCAGACACAAAAUUUACAUUAUUGACUUAAUAAAAUGAGUAUCAAAUAUUCUAUACAGAGAGCAGAAUAGAUGAAGCCCACAAAUCAUCUGUCUCAGAGUGGUUAUUUAUAAUACUCACCUGCUACACAACACCUGCUGAGAAGUUUCAAAUUGAAAAGUAGGCUUUCUUUGAAAAAUCGCUUUUUUUUGUCUUAUAAACCUUUACUCAGAUAACUUGCUGUGUGGUUAGUUGUUCUUGCAUUGCAACACAGUGACUAGUCAUUCCUUAUUCACAUUAAUUUACUGGCACAUUUUUUCCAUUUUGGUUCUCUAACUCAGGCUGAGAAGUUCUAAUUAAAUGUCAUGGUUUUGUAAUUUUGCUAUUGGUAUUCCACAUCAUAACAUCAUGUACAGCACGGGUAAUUAAAGGGUUAAUACUCCAGUUCCAUGGAUUGACAACUUCCCAGAUACCUGGUUCUCAAAAGAGAAGAAGAACUACAUAUCCCAGAGGACCUCACGGUCAGAGAAGGAAGAUACAUUACGGGAUUCACAGGAUUUCUCUCUCUCACUGCCAGGCAGAGGGGUGGGUGUGCUUCCAAGCUGUGUGCCUUCAUGCAAGUAAGGCCUUUUGGUUUCGGAAACUCUCUUAUUUUAUUUAUUACCCUCAAUUUCAAUUAGAUUGUAUUAUAUUGUGUUAUCUUGCAUUCCGAUACCACAGUUAGUAAAAAAAAGUUUUCCUCCUUAGAUUGUUGCUGCUGCUCCGUUCUUUUUUCCCUCUCUGAGCCCAGCUCCCGUUCCCCUACCAAUUUCCCUUUUCCCUUCCCAUUUUUUGGGAGCCAGGGGGCCCACAGGUCUACUGCCCCCCAGUCAUGGACAUAGAUUGAUCUAGAUAACUCCGUGACAGUUUUUGGGGGAGAAUGCAGGCAUUCUGAAGCUUUUCACAUUAGCAGAGGGGGAAAAAAAAAAAAAAAAGGGAUUUCUUUAAGCCGGAGACUGCAAGGCAUUGCUACUUUGACCUCCAUAGAUUACAUAGAUUAGAUUAUAGUCUAGGCAGUCUGCCAAACUCUGGACACUGUACCAAAUGUUUUUUUCAGGAUCUAUCAAUUGAGAUGGUCCUACCCAAUCCAGCUUCCUACAUACUAUAGAGGGAGAUAAGGUUCCUUUAGUACAUUAAAAGAGCAUGUUGGGAAAAACUGUUUGGGUCCUUCCAGCUUCUGGAAAGGGCAAACCUCUCCAUGGAACUGUUUUUGCUCAAGGACCCAGCACCACUUGGUGGGUGAUGCAGAAAGAUGGGGAUGUUCAGUGUGUACCACAAGGGAAUUUGAUGCUGGUAUAAUAAUUCCAUGUAUAUAUAUGUAUAUAUAUGCAUAUAGAUCUGUGUGUGUAAUGCAUUUUUAUUAUUGCUUGUUCAUAUAUAUGUAUAUAUAAUAAACAUGAUGUAGUGAUGUGGAAUAAGGGGUGGAAUGGGAAUGUCAUGUUUUUAUGAUUUUUGUUAUCGGUAUUCUACAUCAUAACAUCAUGGAAAGCAUGGGAAUUAAAGAGUUAAUACUCCAGUUCCAUGGACUGACAACUUUCCGGCUCUCAGAAGAGAAGAACUACAUACCCCAUAGGACUUCGUGUUCAGAGGGGAAGAUAAGACCUGCAAGUCACAGGACUCACUCUCUAUCUCGCUGCCUGGCAGUGUGUGGGUGUGCUCCCCAGCUGUUUCACCUUCAAUUCAGAGUAAGGCCUUUGGUUUCAGACACUCUCAUUUUGAUUUAUUAGCCUCAGUUCCAAUUAUAUAUUGUAUUAUAUUGUGCUAUCUUGCAUUCUGAUAUCAUAUUUAGUAAAUUAAUUUUCCUUCUCAGAUCAUUGCCACUGUUCUGUUUUGAGGCUCAUCUCACAUUUUCCUACCCUUCCCCCUUUCCCUUUCCCCUUUCCUAGGGUGUAGACCUGUGGGUCCCCUGCUGCAUUUCUCACAGAACUGGAACAAAUCAGCCUGUAAACCAUUGGCACCCCCCACCCCCCUCUCCUUUUUGGGCCUGUGGGCCUGCUGUCCCUGUCAUGGACACAGAUAGAUCUAGAUAACCCUGUGACACGGGUAAACUCUUAGAUGCUUUAAACAUGGUUUUGCAUAUGAUUUUUAUCAUAU